rnacentral:lncRNA from 1 species
AAGCCCCGUUUAAUUUAUAGCCACCAGGCAUCGUCUAAUCCGUCCUCCUUUCUAUUAUGACUGGAAUUUGAAGAACUAACCAGGCAUCUCUGCUCGCAGCUAUCAUCACAAGGACCGACCCAUGAUGAGAUCGACUUCGAGUUCCUCGGGAACCUCAGCGGAGACCCUUACACGCUCCACACCAACGUUUUCGCCCAGGGGAAGGGGAACAAAGAGAUGCAGUUCCAUCUCUGGUUUGAUCCCACCAAGGACUUCCACACCUACUCCAUCCUCUGGAACCCCAGACAUAUCAUGUGAGUUCUCAAAUCCCGCAUAAGCGAUGCUAUCUAAUACAAAAUGCUGCUUCCUCUCGUACAUUUGAAACUAAUGUCAGGCUCGCCUUGGAUUUUAUUUAUCCUUUCAGCUUCAUGGUUGAUGGCAUGCCAAUCAGAGACUUCAAGAAUAUGGAGUCCAAGGGUGUUGCGUUUCCGAAGAACCAACCCAUGAGGAUCUACUCCAGCCUCUGGAAUGCCGAUGACUGGGCGACGCAGGGCGGACGCAUCAAGACCGACUGGGCGAAGGCCCCCUUCACCGCCUCGUACAGGAAUUUCAACGCUGAUGCCUGCGUCUGGUCCUCUGGUGCCUCCAACUGCCCUUCGAAGAAANNNNNNNNNNNNNNNNNNNNNNNNNNNNNNNNNNNNNNNNNNNNNNNNNNNNNNNNNNNNNNNNNNNNNNNNNNNNNNNNNNNNNNNNNNNNNNNNNNNNNNNNNNNNNNNNNNNNNNNNNGAUUCCCUCAGGGCCUACCUCCGGAGUGCUCCAUUGCCUGAAGAGAAAUGGAAUGUAGAGACCAAUCACGCCCAUUAUUUCAUUCAUUUGUUCUCUAUUGUCGCUUCAGUUCAUAAAUGGAGAGGAGUAUGUACUUCCUCCAUGUAAAGUGAUGCCACGAAUUUAAACGACAGAACCACGCAGAGUUUUCUUUAUCAUCCAGAAGAAACUGAGCUGCUUCUUUCCAUAAGGAUGCAUAUUUUGUACGGGAGUUUAUUCGACUUGAAAGCCAGAUAACAAGUUCCAAGUAUUUGCGAUACAGAGGAAUACAUAAUGGACUAAUCAAAUGCAUUUUCUCAUAAGUUGAACUUCCCAUCUAAUUCUUCAUCAUACUCGAGCUCAAAUUCGAGCUUUUGUCAUAAUUAAAAAAAUAUAUAAUUUACAUAAAAUAUGAUAUAAUACUAUAUUUUUAAAAUAUUAAAUUAAUAAUAUAUAUUAUUAAAAUAUAAUAUUAUUAAAAAUAUAUAUAUACUCCGCGAUGAGGCAGGCAUGCGGGCUUUGGAGCUGAAUAUUCUGCUCCAAUCAAAUUAAAUUGAGUCGAGUCUGGAUCCAGUCAUGUACCCUGGCAGCUCAAUGGCAGCUGUCAAUCUUCUGUGGGUCCGGCAUCAUGCGUACUUGCACGAAUCUACUUGCCACGUUCCUUGCGAUCUCUUGUAGCCCAUGAUCUACUCAUUCCUCAUUGGAAAUGUUCUCAAGAUAAUAUUGAUAAGAAAGGAUGAGCUAUUCCUGCAUAUUCUUAAGUCAAUAGAAGAUAACUACUUGCUAGCUGAAAUAGUUCAGGUUCGUGAGUAUUCAACUAUACCCAGUUUAAACAUGAUGUGAUAUUCAAUUGCUGAUCUUUUUUAUUUCAUUUUUACGUUCAAAGUUGUGUAUCCAACAUGAUAAGCAUCUGUACUAAUUUUCAAUAUAGUUUUGGAAGUUCUUACAGAUUAGAUGUUGCACUAAUGUAGCAUGUGAAUGUAAAUUCAGUAGGAUGUUUGCAGCAAGGGACAAGAGAAUGCAACAACUGUAUUUUGCUUCUCGAUAUGAAUGGAUGAAUGGAAAGAUCGGUCAUGAUACAAAUGUGGUUUACAUGAGCUUGGUUAAUGUUAUGAUGAACUAGUGGUAAUUUACAGACUGAAGACCCAUUCGCACUUUGGAAUAUGACAUAGGAUGAGCUUCUACUUUAUCAAGCAUGAUGUUGGGUCAUGAACUGGAAAAUGUAUUAAAAUGCAGAGACAAAGUUAAAUGACUACGUGGCGUAGACUCAGAAGUGUCAGCUCGUAUUGCGCAGCAUGCAUGAUACUUAAAUUGCCAGUUCCUCAUCCGGCACAUAGUAAAUCAUGGUCGCUUUGAGAAGUCAUAUACAAGUGCAAUAAUAUGAUAUACAUCAUCUCAAUCAUAUAAAGAUGAACAAAAACAAAUAUCUCGUACAUUAAAUAAUAAUUUUAUAUCGCAUGGAACCAUCAGCAAGCAAGUUAAUGGUGUUAUAGGAGUUAAUCUUGACCCACCAAUAUCUUUCCAAGCACAACGAGCAAAUUAAGGAGAAUGAACCCUAGUUGGAAGAACAAGUUUCUUGCUGUGGAACUAACUUAAUUUAAUAAUUGCAUCUCAGUUUUAGGAGUCGAUCAGAUAAUUUAAUGAUUGCGUAGCUCUAUUUUAAUUGUCAUAUACCAAAAAAAUCAAAUUAAUAAUUUAAAUCCUAGAGUACAUGACUAAGCACAAAAGAAUAAAGGAAAGAUGGUGCAUUACCUCGGGCGGAGGCAGAUCUCGAUCGAUCGUUGCUUCGGGUCGGUCGGUCGAUGCCCGUCUCCGAAGAGGAGGGCUGUCGCGAAGCUCGAUCGAGGCUUGAGGGCUGCUCGGUUGGCGCCAGAAAGGAGGGAGGAGGAGGAGACCCUAGGGCGGAGGCGAAGCUCGAGAACAAAUUAAAGAAGGAAAAAACACCCAUGAAUACACGAUGAAGAGGAGGAAGAGGAGGAGAACAAGCGAGAAGGAGGGAGAGGAGAGGAGAAAAAUAUCUCGGGCGGAGGGGAUUGAGGUCGGUCUGUCGGCGUCGGAGAGGAGGGAGGAGGAGAGGGGGUUGGGUCGGUCGGUCAGCGCCGAAAAGGAGGAAGGAGGUUGGGGUCGGACGGUCGAUGCCGGAGAGGAGAAAGAUGGGGGCUAGACCUGCUCAGCGUCAGAGAGGAGAAAACUAGGGCAGAAUGAGGGCUCGGGGUUGGGCACUAGGUUUGGAGGGGGUCUUCGAAUUUGAUGACGCUUAUAAGCGUCGUCUUAGGUCUUGACCUUCGACGACGCUUAAAAGCGUCCUCUCAGGUCCACUCCCCAUACUUUCCAGCGUCGUUUUAGCUUGAGUCCUAUGACGACGCUUUUAAGCAUCUUAGUUCUUUCAAAUUGCCGACACUCAUUAGAAGCAUCGGCAAAAUUUGGUACGGGAGCCAAAUUUACCGAUUUAUCUCCUUAGCGUCGGCAUUCAAGAGUUGGCUUAACUUCUUUUCUUUGUAGUAUUCUUUUCUUACUAUAAAACAAAAACAAAAAAAUCACCAUCCCUCCCCCCCCCAAAAAAAAAAAAAACCAAACCAAACCAAAAAUAUCAUCAUCUUACCUCAACUAAAAAAUAAAUUUUAAGAAUAUUGAGCCUAAGACUCAACAUAACUUAAUAUAGACAUGAAUCCUAAAAUAGUUAAAAUUAAUGAUUCAUUUUCAUAAAAUUAGGAGUUGACAAUGAACCAAGAGAGCAAGUAAUUACACUAAACAAAACAAAACUAUAAACCGAACUACAAUAAGUUCCUCACUACGGACAAAUUUCUCCAAGUCGAGUGACCUUUGCCACGAUAAGUAGACAUGUUCGUACAUGAUUGCAGUCGAGGAGAGCCAAGUUGGAAUCUAGAGAGUAGCUCGACUUAAUUUAAAAUACUCGGACCUGAAACUCGACUUGAGAACGAUCGAGCCUUAAUAUCUAAGUUUGAAUACUACUCGAUAAAAAAAGAAAAUUAAUACUUAAGAUCGGUUUGGCUCGACUUGAAUAUCAAUCGAGCAUACUCGAUCUCAAAUUCGAGCUUUUAUCGUAAUUUAAAAAAUUAUAAUUUACAUAAAAUAUAAUAUAAUACUAUAUUUUAAAUAUAUUAAAUUAAUAAUAUAUAUUUGUUGCUGGAAAUUGGACCCGGGGGCCGCCGCGAAGCCGGGGAAGGAGGAGCUCCGCUGCUGCAGGGGGCGGACGGCGGUGCGCCGGCCGGCUGCGUCCUCCGCCGCGGGGGGUGUGCAAGUCCGAAGAGGGGUGGUGCGUCCAAUCCUGUCCUGUCCUGCAAAAAAGCCGGUGGCCGGGCUCCCCGGCGCCGGCCCUCCGAUGCCUAAGUCAGAGGGGGCAAGUAUGUGGAGAGAGCAGGGAAGAGAGUAUGUGGAGAAGACAGAGAGAGCUUCGGGUUUUUCCUCCCGUUUUUUGUCCCCUUUUCNNNNNNNNNNNNNNNNNNNNNNNNNNNAAAGUGACUGCAGAAACCCACCUCACGAAGGUACCCGGCGAGCGAAAGGUGACCACGAGGUCGACGUCCAUUUGCUGCUGCUGGUUCACCCCCAGACGCCGCCCCACCCCACACGAAACCAGUCUCCACCACUUGCUUCACGAGCCUCGAGCCCCAAGUUUUAAUAAUAAGAAGCCACCUUGGCAUACCACUGUCGCCAAUCUGUUGCCAACCCAUACCAUAGCAUUGAGAGGAGAACCAUCACACAUUGCCUCCCCUGUAUGCAUAUAUAAACCCAGUAACUCCUGCUGCCUUCUUCACUCCAACAACACCAACACUCCCAUCCCCUCUCUUCUACCGAAACAAUUCCCCCUUUGCCAUCUCAACGUCAUGUCAGCUGCUUCCCUCUCUACUGGUGCCAUCAUGGCUUUCUCUCUCCUCCUGCUAGCUUGCUCUUUAAUGACCGCUGCCUCCGCUGGUAACUUGGACCAAAAUCUCCAAAUCACCUGGGGCGAUGGGCGUGCAAAGAUCAUCGAAAACGGGCAGCUCCUCACCCUCUGCCUCGACAAAGCCUCUGGCUCCGGCUUCCAGUCCAAGAACGAGUAUCUCUUCGGCAAGAUCGACAUGCAGCUGAAACUAGUCCCUGGGAACUCCGCCGGCACCGUCACCGCCUACUACGUAAGCCCCGUUUAAUUUAUAGUCACCAGGCAUCGUCUAAUCCAUCCUCCUUUGUAUUAUGACUGGAAUUUGAAGAACUAACCAGGCAUCUCUGCUCGCAGCUAUCAUCACAAGGACCUACCCAUGAUGAGAUCGACUUCGAGUUCCUCGGGAACCUCAGCGGAGACCCUUACACGCUCCACACCAAUGUGUUCGCCCAGGGGAAGGGGAACAAAGAGAUGCAGUUCCAUCUCUGGUUUGAUCCCACCAAGGACUUCCACAC